AUCAACAUCAAAUGGCAAGUGACUGAGUUUUGCUCAGUCGUUGUAGUGGAAGCGCCUCUAUAGGUUGUCAGUGAGAUAGCCACUAGAGGUGUGUUUAGCCCUUCAAGUUAAACAUUACUGUCUCUGAAAAUGGCAGUGUUUUAAUUUGAAGGCUUAUAAUUGCAGAAACACUGCACCCAGCCCCUGCUUUACUUUAGUGGCCCUUUAAAUACAAACAGUGAAGAGCAUGACAAACUAUGCAUUCACAGUGCAAUGUUUGGGGACCCAGGACAUACUUGAAAAUGAGAGAAAUCUCAAUGUAUCCAUCCUGGUAAAAUAUUUUAUAAAUAUAGAAUUGUAAGAAUGUAAAAUGGUAAUUAAAUAGAAGGCACUGUACUUUAAAGUUAUCAUCAUUGUUGCCCAAUCUAAUAGUUAAAUUACAGAAGGUGCCAGAUCAUUUUGUGACAAAUGAGCACAGCGCAGACAUUUUUUUUAUCAUCAGGCUGUCCGCAGUGGAGAAAGGGUUGGCAGACUUACAACAUAAUCUGCACAAGGCUGACAACAGGAUGGACGCCUCGGAGCACUGCGGCCUUUCUCCCACCUAAGUAUGCCAAGGCCAUAAAGCUAGACAGCAUGUUCCGUCUCCCUAUACCUGCGGGUGCACCACCCUUUGUCUCUCCGGACCUCAUCAUCAGAUUCCAGUCCCUACAGGACAAGGCUUUGCUCCUGGAGGCUGUGAGGGGAAAGUCACCAAUCUCCUUUGAGGCAACUACACCUGAUGCUCUCCCCGGACCUCAUGAGGAACACCUUGACCUGGUGUCUCUCUUACAGAAGUUACAGGCGUAGGACAUUCCUUACCGAUGGGGACUACCCCAAACCAUUAUGUUUACCCAGCAGGGCACGAUGUACCAUGCGGGAUCCUACCAAGAUUUGGAAGACCUCAUGCAAACACAGAGCAUUAUGGAGCAAGCUGAAGCAGCGGGGACAAGCCUGUUCAAGAGUUUACACCUCGAGCAGCACAUGCUGCAUUGUCCUCAAGAGGACCUGAUAGAAUAACCCUCAAGCCUCCAGUGUUCCCGUAUUGCAAGAGCUUUAUCUUUAAUAACCACCAAAAAUUACCUUCCUUGAAUUUAUUGUUCAGUUCUUAUUUAAGUUUAUUGACAAAACUUGGACAGUAUCUAUCAUUAUGCUGUGUCAUCUGUGACAGAUCUCUCUGUCUUGGACUUACAUGGAACUACUAUUCCUUCGUUUGCUUGAUUUGUGUGAUUUUAUUUGAUUCGUGUUGUUCCCCGUUCGUAUGGACUCCAUAUACUUCCCCUGAAACUACCGAACAAAACUCCCGAACGGCCGGCCGGCCACCCAGUAGAGAAGUGUGCUGCUGGUUAACCUCUUG